AAACCAGCACCUCAAGUGGUCAGGAGGAUUAUUGGGCCUAAAGCAUCCGUAGCCUGUUCUGUAAGUUUUCGGUUAAAUCCAUUAGCUCAACUAAUGGGCUGCCGAAAAUACUGUAGAACUAGGGAGUGGGAGAGGUAGACGGUAUUCGGUAGGAAGGGGUAAAAUCCUUUGAUCUAUUGAGGACCACCUGUGGCGAAGGCGGUCUACCAGAACACGUUCGACGGUGAGGGAUGAAAGCUGGGGGAGCAAACCGGAUUAGAAACCCUAGUAGUCC
rnacentral:rRNA from 1 species